rnacentral:lncRNA from 1 species
UCCGACCCAGGUCGUCGCAGCAGCACAGGAAGCUGUAACACAGAGACACUAGGAGGAGGAAACAGAGUACAAGGAGAACGUAUCCAGGAGCAAUUCCACUUCGAAUGAUUCCUAAGUGAAUGCCUACAGGACAGUUCUCGGUGACCAUGUCCAGAACAGGCAUAAGUGACGAUCCCCAGUACUUCCCUGAGGGACCACACUGGUACCUUGGAUCAGAACCCUGCAUCAGAACAGGCCUAAAUGGCCAUGGCUAAGAACACGGCUGAGUUGUC